AAAGAUAGCCCCUUCGUACGAAAGGAGUUGGGUAUAUUGACCUAUGGUUUACCUGUUGUUUAUGUUAUGUAAUGUCAUUUACUUAAACUUAAGUAAAUUGUUCACAUAGGCAUGGCAGGAAGGCUACGUCAGUUAAAGAUAAGUGCUGAAUGCAUUUAAGCGCAAAGCUUACUUUAAGA
rnacentral:ncRNA from 1 species